rnacentral:lncRNA from 1 species
AUCGCCGGAGUGGUGACGGAGGUGGGCAAGAACGUGACCAAGUUCAAGGCCGGCGACCGCGUCGGCGUGGGCUGCAUCGUGAACUCGUGCCAGUCCUGCGAUAGCUGCAACGAGGGUUUCGAGAACCACUGCCGGGGCAUGAUCUUCACCUACAACUCCGUCGACCUCGACGGCACCGUCACCUACGGCGGCUACUCGAGCAACGUGGUGGUCCACGAGCGGUUCGUGGUCAGGUUCCCUGAUGCCAUGCCGCUGGACCAGGGCGCGCCGCUGCUGUGCGCGGGCAUCACCGUGUACAGCCCCAUGAAGCACCACGGUCUGAACGUGCCCGG